UUGAUCCUGGCUCAGAAUCAACGCUGGCGGCGUGCCUAACACAUGCAAGUCGAACGCGAAAGCCCCGCAAGGGGUAAGUAGAGUGGCAAACGGGUGAGUUACACGUGGGUGACCUGCCUUCGAGUGGGGGAUAACGUCCCGAAAGGGACUCUAAUACCGCAUGACAUCCUGCUUUUGGAAAAGCGGAGAUCAAAGCUGGUGAUCGUAAGACCUGGCGCUUGAAGAGGGGCCCGCGCCUGAUUAGCUAGUUGGUGGGGUAACGGCCUACCAAGGCGACGAUCAGUAUCCGGCCUGAGAGGUCGGACGGACACACUGGGACUGAGACACGGCCCAGACUCCUACGGGAGGCUGCAGUGGGGAAUUGUUCGCAAUGGGCGCAAGCCUGACGACGCAACGCCGUGUGGAGGACGAAGAUCUUCGGGUCGUAAACUCCUGUCGAGUGGGAAGAAUGCUUCGGGGGCGAAUAUCCUCCGGAAUUGACGGUACCACUAAAGGAGGCUCCGGCUAACUCCGUGCCAGCAGCCGCGGUAAUAAGGU
rnacentral:rRNA from 1 species